UUUGUUUUGUCCUGUAUGAACUUUGAUGGUGGAUUUGGGUGCAGACCAGGCUCUGAAUCUCACGCAGGACAGUUACCAGAUGUGUGCUAUUCCUGGUGGGUGUUGCCUCCUUAAAGAUAAUUGGGAGACUUCAUUGGAUUGACAGAGAAAAGCUUGAAGCUUCAUCUUGGCAUGUCAAGAUGAAGAGACAGGAGGGUUUGCAGACAGGCCAGGAGACAUGGUGGAUCCCUUUCACACCUUGUUUGGCAUUGCUGGAUUGUCACUUCUGGGGGAAGAGCAGAUCAAGCCUGUCAGCCCUGUCUUUUGCAUGCCUGAAGAAGUGCUGCAGAGGGUGAAUGUCCAGCCUGAACUAGUGAGCUAGUACGAGGGGAAGAGCCUUCAGUGUGCAGUAUCAGUUACUGUGGUUAUCAAACCCAGAAGUGACUUAAUAUUUUGUAUAUCAUAUGUCAAUGAUAAAUUAUAUAAGUAUUGUAAAAUAAAUGUCAUAUUUAGAUCUUUAGUGUUCUGAGUACAGUUUCUGUCAAUACUGUUUGUUAAUGUCUAACAGCAACAAACUUAAAGCUAGUAUUUAACUGCCACCUCCCUGUGUCCUUUUGACCUGUAACAAUGAUGGGAAAUGAUUUCUGUUAAUAAAGAUGAUCAAAGUGAGUGAAACUCAUGAUUUAAAUAAAAGAUGCAUAAAAU